UGAGACCACAAACAACCUUCCAAACCCACAUAGCAUACACGGAAGAAAACACUAUCCAAACCUAAAUGGGCAAACAUGGCGAAAGAGAGAACCACCAGCCACGUUAGAAGCGAUGGAAGCUGUAACGAGAUGAGAGAACAUAGAGGGAAUGGGAUACAAAACGAAAUCAUCAAAUCGUGGAGCUGUACUCGAGCUAUGAAAGAGAGCAUAAAAGUCAGAUCAACAAAAACUAGAUCUUGAAAACCAAGACGAUCAAGGACUAUAAACCGCAAGCCAACGACGAGGAAGACAACAUCAAAUAUGACUAACGCUUCCCCAAAGAAGGAGAUGCAGUCCCUAACAUCAGCCUAAAUCUAAGGAAAAAGAGGAGCAUCCAAUAUUGACCCGGACAGCCUCCAACGCCAUGAGAAACAACCACACAAUUAGGAACUCAUAAACCCGAUCUACAACAAAAAUCAGAUAAUCUCAGAGAAGAAGAAGGCAAGGAAGAACAAGAGCACGGAGGUGACUCUUUUUCCGUGAUGGUGAGAAGCAUCGCAUACCUGAAAGGCAAACAAAAUUCAUAGAUGGUGAUGGCUCAAGGUCAAAAUAUGAGGAGAUUGCAAAAAAUAUCUUAAAAGAAUAAUGUUCAAAAUUUUAAAAUAAAAUAUAAUUUUGACGCUGAAACCUUAAUUCUUAGAAUCGACAAAUGUCUAAAUGCAAAGUUAUUGAAAUUCAAUAUGCCUUACAUCAGAAGUUCACUUCACCACUAACAAGUACACUACUAUACAUACAACAACACAUUAUUAAAAAACAAACACAUAAUAUAU
rnacentral:lncRNA from 1 species